rnacentral:sRNA from 1 species
CUGGCUGGGGGUUCGCAGGUGAGUUUUGGGGGCAGCUGGUGUCUGCACAGCCACAGGUCCUCCUGCUGGGGCCCUGGUAGGUAUUUGGAGCCCAGCCAGAGCCACACACAGCUGGAGGCCUUGGAUGCUCCCUCCUGCAUCCUCGUGCCACUGUUGCCCCCAACAGUCCUGGCCUGCUCACCUGACCCUCGCACCUGUGCUGUGGGCCUGUGUCCUUCAGCCUCUCUGUUCGCUCCUUUGAUGGUGUGUGCCUGUCUCUGGGUGUUGAUGUCAGCUUGUUUGUCUGCUCCCUGCCCCGUGCCUGGGUGUGUUGGAGUGUCUAACCGUGUCUUUCUGCCCGUCUGUCCUGUGCAGCUGGACUCUGUUGAGGAAGGAGCGGUAUGGAUUCUUUGUUUCUUCCGCCCACCGAGGCCCCAUCCCUACCCCCAGUCAGAAGCAGCCACUCCUGUCCUGAGUUCUCUCUGCAGCUGCUUUGGGACAACAGAGGCAGGGCGUGGCGUUUCCCUCUUGCCAUGUUGCCCAUCCCAGCCAGUCCCACCUCGGGUCUGUCAGUACACCAGGGUCUUCCUGGGGACACAGAGCUCUGGGCUGACUCUGGGCUGGCUCUGGUCAAGCAACUGAGCCCCAAUCCUUUUUUUGCCGCAGAGGACGAUCUCUUUGGGGGCUGGUGACCGGCAGGUCAUCCAGACUCCACUGGCCGACUCGCUGCCUGUCAGCCGCUGCAGCGUGGCCCUGCUCUUCCGCCAGCUGGGCAUCACCAACGUGCUGUCUUUGUUCUGUGCCGCCCUCACGGAGCACAAGGUUCUCUUCCUGUCCCGGAGCUACCAGCGGCUCGCCGAUGCCUGUAGGGGCCUCCUGGCACUGCUGUUUCCUCUCAGAUACAGCUUCACCUAUGUACCCAUCCUGCCGGCUCAGCUGCUGGAGGUCCUCAGCACUCCCACGCCCUU